AGCGCGGCGGGGACGGCGCGGAAGGAAGGGCGGCCGGCUCUGAGGGGGGAGUCGCCGGAGCCGCGGGAAGCGGCGGCCCGGGGAAAGGGUCCCCUGAGGGCCGGCGGCGUCCGGGCUGACCCCUCGUCAGCAGGGAGGCCCCGCUGUCGGCGAGGGGUGAGGGGCACCUGUGAGCGCCUGGCGCUUGAAAUAGGAAGCGGGGAAGGGAGCACCGUCCGCAGGGCCCGGGGGCUGCGGCGGCAGAGGGGUGCGGGCGGCAGUCAUCCCUGCACCCGCUGCCCUGACGGUCGCCGCCGGUGAAACGCGCGUUUGCUGUCAGGCUGUGACUGCCUCCCUGAAUAGAGAACGGCAAGAACUAAUGGAAUUCCAAAACCCAUGGCUGAAAGAUCUCCACCUCGUGUGAGCAUUGUUACAAGACCUACAUCAGGCAGCGCGAUACCAUCAUGACAACAAAUUAAGAAGUCUUGCUCGAGGGAAAACUUUCUAUCUGGCAGAGUCUUACACGCUUUGAAGCUGCAUGAAGUGAGAAGGUUGGUUCCAUAAUCCGCGUAUCACUGGGCUACUGCCACCACAGAGAAAGUUUGACUGUAACCGGCUGUGACUUGAACGUCCUCCUUGGUGAGCUGGGCGUUGCGCUGCCUGUGUCCUUGGGAUCUUUAAAUAGUAGCCAAAAGCAGGCUGGCUGCUGCUGGUGUCAUCCCACCAACUUGAGAUACUUAACCAAGAUACCUGAGCGUGGUUGCUCCAAACUUCAUCUGUAGUCAGGAGAGAGACAGGCAGACAAUUGGUGAAAAUAAAUCAGAUAAUUUCUGCAAUUUUCAUCACUGGUGUGUUUUAAUGCCAACCUCAGUCUCCCCAUGAGUUAGUAGAAACACCCCCCCGGUAACACCACAGGAUAAAGCACAGCUUUUGGGUUGAAUCCAACAAACUUCUUCAUGCUUCUUGUACAGCCCCAAAAGAGAGAGAGAGAGAGAGAUGAGGGUGGGGAAUUAAUCCAUUAUAUCACAGCCAUCUGUCCAAAUUUAUGCAAUACUUUUCCACUUGGAAGUGUGUACUUUGGAAACAAGGUGAAGAAGACUUUGGGUGAGGUGGGCCAUCACAGGAUGACUAUAAAUUGCCAGCAUGAUGUGAACAAUGUGUUGUGAUCUGACGUGUGUCUGAAGUGUGUCCAUUGGAGACAGGAAUGCCACAGAAGGUGGUGGUGCAACCAUGCCUGCUAUCGUAUGCAAAAAUCCAGCACUCAUACUUGAAAAUAGGUUAAGUAAAAUUAGAAUAAUUUGAUUCUAGGAUGUUUAGGGAAAUGUUGAUCCAAGUUUUUUAGCUUGGCCUAUUAAGCCUAAUGAAACAAAUGGAGUGGAGAUAUGAUUGCUAUCUGCUCCAUCCAAUCAGGGAACAAAGGGAAUAGGAAACAUAAACAGGAAAAAAGAAAACCUUAAUCUUACAAGCAAUAUUGAUAUCAUGAUAAACAAUGAUAAGGUGGCCAUUAAUACCUUGGAAUGAAAAGGUUUCUCAUCACUAGCAACUGAAAUCAGGUUCCAGAAUUGCCUUGGCAUGAAAGCAAAUGGGACUUAAAAAUUGCUUGGCACAGCACUCUGUAAAAUUUAUGGGAAGAUUUACAUAACAAGGCUCCUGUGAUGGUAGGCUGGACACAACAAAUUAACAAGACCUUUCUACUCCUGAGAUCUUAAUACCAUGAAAGGGAAAGAAAUUAGGUGGCAUUAAGUAUCAG